rnacentral:misc_RNA from 1 species
GGAGUAGUUAGCAAUUCGGUAUUCUUUUACAUGCCAUUUAGCAGUGUCAAAGAGUUUUGCAUUCCCUGAUUGUAGUGCUCCUAUUUAUGUGUCUAUGAUAUACCUGUUCUCUGCCAGCAGCAUUAAUAUUUUAUUGCUUCUAUUUAUUGCUCCUAUUUAUUGCUUGGGAAGAAGUAAUAUUUUAGAUUGAGAUGCUGUUAUGUUCUUGCAACUUGCUACUCAAUUUGAUCAUCAUAUGCUUGCACCUGGAUAGUGUUCUUGUCGUCAUUGAUUAUGCUAUUAGACUCGUAUAGAUUCUACACUGGAUCGCAUGAAUGAUGGAAAAAAGGGUGCUAAGUUUCUGAAGCUAGUUUCCUUUGUUGCUGCUGUGAGCCACCAAUCAUUUGCUCCCUUCCUUUCUUCAAUAUAUGUGUGUGUGUUCCAUUGUUAUUCCUUGCUUACUUGUCAUUUCUUUUUUUUCCUCAACCUUACCCUUUCAUUUUGACAUGGUUCUUUUUCUUAUUGAAUUUUCAUUUGCCUAUUUAUAUGAUCUUUUAGGCCUUAUUCUAUUCGGCUUUGCGU